rnacentral:lncRNA from 1 species
UAGUUUGGUUAUAUGUUAUUUCCCUAAAGUUUGAAUGGUUUUGGGAUGUUUUUGGAGUAAAAAUGUUCAUGGAAUUUUUUUGGGUUUUUCAUGAAUGUUCUUCAUUGUUCUUGACAUUUUUGCCAAGAACAAAAAGUUUUGUGUUUUGAUUCAAAGUUUUGUUUUAUUUCAUAAAGUUUAUGUUUUAUGUUUUUCAAAUGUUUAAAUGUUUUAGAUAUUUGUUUAAAUGGUGUAAGAGUUGUAAGAGAUAUUAUGGUGGGUGUGAAAGGAUUAAUUCCCUUUCACACACACCACUUGCACCACUUGCAUGCUUUAUGUCAAAACUCACAAAUCAACACACACAUCACUCCAUUACUCUUCCAAAACCGGCCCUCCCUCAAGUGGGAGUACUUUUGGGACUUUUAUGCAAUUACAUAAAGUUUUGAUACUUUUGUGUAUUUGCACUUUGGCCCAAAAGUUUACGCUUUUACGUUUAGGUCCAAAAACGCUAAAGGACAAAUUGUUUUGCUCCUUUAAUGAAGUUUUUGCAUUGUUUAAAUUUUGGGUUCUAGUGUAAUUACAUGAAGUAGUGGACUUUUGUGUUCUUACAAAGUGACCCCAAAAGUUUAUGUUUUUGCAAUAUUGCCCAAAGGUUGUGGUAAUUGCAUUUUGGCCCAAAUUAGGUUGAGAACAAAAUUGUUUUGUCUCUUUAAAUGAGAAUUGGAUUUUCAUUUCAUUUUUAGCUCCAUUUAAAUCAAUUUUAUGGAUACAAAAACCAAAUGAAAAUGUUGCAUUCAAUUUAAUUAGUUAAAGUGUUAAUUAAUUAAAGGGUGAUUAUGAACCUAAGCCUAAUAUAAUUGAGCUAUGUGAAAGGCCGUUUCAAAUUUGUUUGAACCAUGGGAAUGUGUAGAAAGAUUUUGGUUGUAAUUUGAUUUGAUCAAAUGUUGUAAAAGGGCAUAAGCCCUUCUUUACUUUAAAGUAAUUUGUUUUAUGCAAAUGUUGUAAUGAGCAUAAGCUCACCUUUACUUUGAAGUACUUCUUUCUUGCUUUAUUUUAUAUGCAUGAAAAUGAAGUAGUUGGGUCCAACGCCCCUAAGACAACACGCCUUAAUGUGAUUAAACGCGUAACUAAAAUCAAUCACCAUCCCUAGACCAAGAUUCAACACAAGGCUCGUGUUGGAUCUAAUUAAAAGGUUCAUAGUCAUCCUAAGGCCCUAAGGCAACUAUAUAGUCCAUCAAAUGAAUGCAAAAGUUUAUGUUAGUAGUAUCAUAUACUCUUGCUUUAAAAACGUUUUAUAAGCAUAGUGGGAGUAUUAUAUACAACUAAAAACAAUCAUAUGGACCAAUAGU